rnacentral:rRNA from 1 species
AAGAAUAAAAUAUGAACGACGAAUUCUAGAAGCAGAAAAAUGGAAUUAGAAAAACGUUUGUAAAGACAGAUUAAAGAUGAAAUAAGAAGUGAAAGGUGUUGUGAAAGUGAACUAAGAGAAAUCGAAGGUAGCGAUUUCAUAUUAUUUAAUAUUCAAUUUAGAACUGGUACGGACAAGGGGAAUCCGACUGUUUAACUAAAACAAAGCAUUGUGAUGGUCUUAGAAGAUGUUGACACAAUGUGGUUUCUGCUCAGUGCUCAGAUUGUUAAAGUGAAGAGAUUCAAUGAAGCGCGAGUAAACAGCGGGAGUAACUAUGACUCUCUUAAGGUAGCCAAAUGCCUCGUCGUCCAAUUAGCGACGCGCAUGAAUGGAUUAAUGAGAUUCCCACUGUCCCUAAUUACUAUCUAGCGAAACCACAGCCAAGGGAACGGGCUUGGCAAAAUCAGCGGGGAAAGAAGACCCUGUUGAGCUUGACUUUAUUCAGACUUUGUGAAAUGACUCUCGAGGUAUAGAAUAGGUGGGAGAUAAUCGACAAUGAAAUACCACUACUUUUGACGUUGUUUUACUUAUUAAAUAAAAUAUUAAGAAAGGAUAAUCCUUUUAUUUCUUGAUUUAACGAAUAUUAUAAGUUGUAACUAAGUUGCAACCUCUGAUUUUGGAAAUAUGUUUAAGACAUUGUCUGGUGGGGAGUUUGGCUGGGGCGGCACAUCUGUUAAAAGAUAACACAGGUGUCCAAAGUAUAACUCAAUGAGAACAGAAAUCUCAUGUAGAAUAAAAGGGUAAAAGUUAUAUUGAUUUUGAUUUUCAGUAAGAAUACAAACCGUGAAAGCGUGGCCUAUCGAUCCUUUAUUAAAUAAAAAUCUUUAUGCUAGAGGUGUCAGAAAAGUUACCACAGGGAUAACUGGCUUGUGGCAGCCAAGAGUUCAAAUCGACGUUGCUUUUUGAUCCUUCGAUGUCGGCUCUUCCUAUCAUUGUGAAGCAGAAUUCACCAAGUGUUGGAUUGUUCACCCUUUAAAAGGGAACGUGAGCUGGGUUUAGACCGUCGUGAGACAGGUUAGUUUUACCCUACUGAUAGCAGAACAGUAGGUAUUUUAAGAGUAAUUCAAUUUAGUACGAGAGGAACCAUUGAUUCAGAUAUUUGGUUUAUGGGAUUAUAUGAAACUAUAGCGUCUCGAAGCUAUCAUCUGCAAGAUUAUGACUGAACGCCUCUAAGUCAGAAUCUUCGCUGAAUAAUUGA